UUCACCACCCCCUCCCGUACCUGCUGUGAGACGCGCUUGAGAAGCAACUUGCAAUAUCUUCUCAUUCUCCCACUUUGUAAACUUCAUAAUUAGAGCUGCCAUGUUCGAUUAAUUAUCGGGCCGUUCAUGGUAUGUUGUUUUUGCCCUCGAUUACUCAGGUCAGGUUUUUUUUCCGGGAAGGAAUACCCGUUGACCCAAACAACCUGAGCUCCCUAUCCACUUUCAAACUCAACUCAACAAAUGGCGAGCUAAACAACUACGCGGUAGGACAAGCAUUUUUUUCCUCCUCCGUGGCGAACCUUUUGGAUUACUUUUGUUUUUUGAACUGAACUUUUGGACUGACGCGAAAGCGUUUGCAUACCUUUUGAACUGAACUGUGAACUGGUUCCGAGAAGGCAGCAGGACUGCAUCUUGUAUUUUUGUUUUGGGCAUUUUUUAAAUUUUUUUCCUAUUGUGUCAUCUGUGGCAUUUAUAUUCUUGUGUUAAUACAUUUAAUGCAGUCGAAACCAAAAUAACUAGUUGUCGUCAUCUUUCAUACCACAGGCUCCUAGACGAACCAUCUUCUGUCACACUGUUUACAUUCUUAACCCGCCUAGUCCAUGCUAGCGUUACACUCAUAUAAGAGACGUUACCAUACUUCCAAGAUAGCGCCAAGUAACAAACCAUGAGUUUUAGGUUAAAAAAAAGCUAGCAUAAAAUGUUAGCAUGCUAAUAUAAAAGAUGUUACCGUACUUCCAAUAUGGCACAAAGUAUCAAAAACCAUGAUUUUUAGGUUAAAACAUACCAAAUCACCUAAAAAGCUAGCAUAAAAUGUUAGCAUGCUAUUAUAAGAUAUGUUACCGUACUUCCAACAUGGCACAAAGUAUCAAAAACCAUGACUUUUAGGUUAAAACACACAAAAUUAACUAAAAAGCUAACAUAAAACGUCA